ensembl:lncRNA
GUGUGUGUGUGUGUGUGUGUGUGUGUGUGUGUGUGUGUGUGUGUGUCAAUUUACGCAACCCCGAGUUGCCCCACGAGGACUUGGCAGCAAAUGAAGUACAAAAAUAUAGUUUAAACAGCAAAUCGAAAAAAUGCAGAGGCCCGGCAGACUGGAGGGGGUCCACCACCUGCAGCCCUCACAGAGGCUGAGGAGAUGGCCCUCAGCCAACAGAGUAUGCGUCCUGGGGCUGAGGGCAUCCCUGGGGGGAGCUCCUCUGAUCCCCCCCACCCCCCAGGAUAGAAGUGCCUUUACAGUAUAAGAGUUACUGAUGGCAUCAUCGCCCUACUUGAACCAGAUGCCCUCACCAACCUCCAUGCAAUUGUAACAAUUCAAAAGAUGCAAAAGGAUGCUUUGGAGAUCCAAAUUUUGGAACAUAAGUUAUAGGUGGGUGAGGUGCAAACUGGGAUAGGCUACUGUUCCCUGCUCUAAAAACAUAUAUAAA